rnacentral:rRNA from 1 species
AGAGUUUGAUCCUGGCUCAGGACGAACGCUGGUCGGCGUGCCUAACACAUGAAGUCGUGCGAGGACGGGCUCUUCGGAGCUCGAGCCGAGCGGCGGACGGGUGAGUAACACGUGAGCAACCUGACCCUGUGCGGGGGAUAACCCGGGGAAACUCGGGCUAAUACCGCAUGGACCUGUGGGCCGCAUGGCNCUAUGGGGGAAAGGCGGCCUCUUAGCAAUGCUGCUGUGCAGGGAGGGGCUCGCGGCCUAUCAGCUAGUUGGUGGGGUAACGGCCCACCAAGGCGACGACGGGUAGCGGGUUCUGAGAGGAUGGCCCGCCACAUUGGGACUGAGACACGGCCCAGACUCCCUACGGGAGGCAGCAGUGGGGNNAUCUUGCGCUAAUGGCCGAAAGGCUGACGCAGCGACGCCGCGUGCGGGAGGAAGCCCUUCGGGGUGUAAACCGCUGUCAGGGGGG